rnacentral:rRNA from 1 species
GAUGAACGCUGGCGGCGUGCCUAAUACAUGCAAGUCGAGCGAACAGACGAGGAGCUUGCUCCUCUGACGUUAGCGGCGGACGGGUGAGUAACACGUGGAUAACCUACCUAUAAGACUGGGAUAACUUCGGGAAACCGGAGCUAAUACCGGAUAAUAUAUUGAACCGCAUGGUUCAAUAGUGAAAGACGGUUUCGCUGUCACUUAUAGAUGGAUCCGCGCCGCAUUAGCUAGUUGGUAAGGUAACGGCUUACCAAGGCAACGAUGCGUAGCCGACCUGAGAGGGUGAUCGGCCACACUGGAACUGAGACACGGUCCAGACUCCUACGGGAGGCAGCAGUAGGGAAUCUUCCGCAAUGGGCGAAAGCCUGACGGAGCAACGCCGCGUGAGUGAUGAAGGUCUUCGGAUCGUAAAACUCUGUUAUUAGGGAAGAACAAAUGUGUAAGUAACUAUGCACGUCUUGACGGUACCUAAUCAGAAAGCCACGGCUAACUACGU